GCGAGCGUUGUCCGGAUUUAUUGGGCGUAAAGAGCUCGUAGGCGGUCUGCCGCGUCGGCUGUGAAAACUCGGGGCUCAACCCCGAGCCUGCAGUCGAUACGGGCAGACUAGAGUGCUGUAGGUGAGACUGGAAUUCCUGGUGUAGCGGUGAAAUGCGCAGAUAUCAGGAGGAACACCGGUGGCGAAGGCGGGUCUCUGGGCAGUAACUGACGCUGAGGAGCGAAAGCGUGGGGAGCGAACAGG
rnacentral:rRNA from 1 species